rnacentral:pre_miRNA from 1 species
AAAAAGACAAACCCUGGGUUUCCGUGUCAACGUUUGACCGUCCGUCUUAUUUUAAAAAAUUAAAAAGACAAGUCACGUAUAAAGUAUUAAUCAUGGUUUAUUAUCUAACAAUAAUAAAAAUACUAAUUAUAAAAAAUUUCAUAUAAGAUGGAUAGUCAAACAUUGGAUACGGAAACCUAGAGUUUGUCUUUUU